rnacentral:lncRNA from 13 species
CCCAUUUUCACCCCCCUUCCUCCUAUCCCUCCUCCCCCUCUUCCCAUCCUCCUGCUGUGUCUCAAUGUCCCCAGGUUUCUGGCUGGUUACUCUCAUCUUCCCAGCAAUUAGCGUUGUUCUGCCGUGGAGCUUCCUCUGCAGGCUGGAGGGAGGUAACUGACCAUAGCCACACGCACACACACACACACACACACACACACACACACACACAGAGAGAAAGAGAGAGGGGGGAGGAGAGGGGAAAGAGAGAGAGAGAGAAGGAAUGAAUGAAUGGGGGANNNNNNNNNNNNNNNNNNNNNNNNNNNNNNNNNNNNNNNNNNAUCCAGUCUGCUGCAGGCCUAGUGUCUCAUGUUCUGUCCACCAGUGUUUCCAUCGUGGAGAAUGACCUGAUCCAGUCUGCUGCAGGCCUAGUGUCUCAGGUUCUGUCUACCAGUGUUGCCAUCGUGGAGAAUGACCUGAUCCAGUCUGCUGCAGGCCUAGUGUCUCAGAUUCUGUCUGCCAGUGUUUCCAUCGUGGAGAAUGAACUGAUCCAGUCUGCUGUAGGCCUAGUGUCUCAGGUUCUGUCCACCAGUGUUUCCAUCGUGGAGAAUGACCUGAUCCAGUCUGCUGCAGGCCCAGUGUCUCAGAUUCUGUCCACCAGUGUUUCCAUCGUGGAGAAUGACCUGAUCCAGUCUGCUACAAACCUAAUGUCUCAGGAUAAUGACUCCACACUGAGAGACUCCAACCAACCUGAGAUCCACGUGGAUGAUGUCUCAACCAAGAGAAGUAGACUUACCAUCACUAUUUCUAUGGUUUCAACCAAGAGUUGCCUUGUUGCUUUACAUGAUGUUGAUGCUAGUGCUACAAGCCUGGAGCAAUCUGCCGAGAAAAUGUCUACCUCUACUAAUGAUGUCAACGACAUCUCAACUGCGGCUGCCAAGAAGAAGAGGUGUAGAUUAUUCUCAUUUGUCUGGAGAGCUCUCUGGGGGAAGAACAAGAAGCCUCUAAGAUAA